rnacentral:piRNA from 1 species
UGCCACAGGGCAGAAAUGAUGCUGAACGUG